UUGCAAAAAUUCAUUUUAUUCAUUAACUAGAUUAACUGAUCUUGGCCCAGUCGUGCAUGUGCCGAGCAGGAAGAUGUUCGAGCGAAGCUUAAUGAUUCCGCUGGCCUGCAUGGCCGCAAGGGAACCCGUCUCGAAGUCGUUGUCGUAGAUGGUCGGGUUGGUCGGCUUACAUCGUCGAACCCCAGUGGAUGUCCGCCUUGGUUGUUAUUUCCGAUGCUGGUUCUAAACCAAUCCUUUUAUUUGGAUACAGCUUGUUGCUUGGAGCACCUUCGACGCGGACACUAAACUGGCCAGGGCCGACGAGAGAGUUGUAAUACCCCGUUCGCACGGGCGAGUUAUAGCCGGUUUUAACGAAAUGGUUUUAAGUUAUAACCAAGUUAAAACCAACCCGUUCGCACGGGAACGUGAGGUUAUAACGGUUUUAACCAUUUUGACAGAUCAUAGCAAUCUGUGAUUAUUUAAGUGUUGUCAUUUAUUUUCAUUUUUACGGUCGAUACAGAUCUUGAUUUUGUUGGGCUGUCUUUUCGGUAAGGGCCGGGUUUUUUUGGGCAGUUUUCGCUUCCGUAUUUGGGCAGGAUGGCAGAAUUCAUUUUUGAGUGUCGGCCGGUUGAAGGUGGUCUGCUGAUUUCAAGUUGGUCACCGCUGAAACCAACUGGAAUAUCACUUGAAGCUGGACGAUCUGGUGGAUUAGUGGUCUCUCAAAGCGUUCCGCUAGUUUAUGGAAAGCAUCGCCUACCUACCGGAACUUUCAAAUCGUGACGGAACUGAGGCGAUCUUUUCCAAACAGCAAUCAGCAAAAUGGAAGGCUUCUCUUUGCUAGACAGGUUCCUGCCAUUGGUUUUUUGGAGGAACUCUUUUCUGGCAUCUAUAAAGCUGCUUCCGGAAAACUACCUCUUCGGUGUUCUCCAAGGUCGCGCCUAGAUGCUUGAAGUUUCUAGGUGGCCCGUGGGCUGCUAACCCACGAAGGAGGAGAAUCUUUGUUCCUGGGUAUCGCGGAGUCUUGGACGGGUCCUAAUUACAUGCUUGACCUCAAGAUAGACGACUUUCUGAAUGAUCACCUGUAGAUCCAGGUGUUCAAGCUGGAGCAGGAAAAGUUCACACCCGCGUGUUGAUCAGUAUGCGACACAUCUGUGUCUGGAAGUAGAUCAAGUAGAUCGUUCAACUCGCUUUCGGCAAUGGCCGACCGAGUCGCGUCAAGAGAUCAGCACUAACGUAAAAGGGCGUCGAUUAAGUCGAUUAAACAUUUCCUUUCCUUACUCCCCCCCGUCCCUAACCCUCCCUCUCCCCUCCCACUUGAGUUUUAAUUCUGAUACACAUCCGAUAGUAUCGAUACAGUUAUUUCUUCCCGAACAUCUUGGAAAUUAGCCACUCGCUUGGGCCAACAUUGCUCCCGGCCUUGAUGCGCCCAUGUUCUCUCUAUUGCAGUGUUGACUUUGGUCUUGGAGGACGAAACGCACCUUUCCAAGGGAAAACUCCCUUCGGGCGAUAAGUAUGUACUUGCUAUGCGUCCACUUUCCCGGAUCGACGAUUGUCAUAGGCACUAACGUGAAGAUUCUCCUGGCCCGUCGUUGCGAACGGUGGACAGCACACGUUCUUCAGCGUUUGAUUGAGGGUGGUACGGAGUAGUGUGAAGAUAAACGGUCGUGAUACAGGUGACUUUGGCGAAGUAUUGAUGAUGGUCAUCAUCGAUGAUCGUUGUCUCUCUUUGGCAGGGGUUACGACGACUCUCGACACCGUCACAGUUAAUUUGGCCAAUCAUGUGCCCAUUAGAUUUUGGAUACCAUAGCAGACAGGCACUCGUUUGGGCCUGUGAUGCCAAGGGUGGUCAGAAUCCCGACAAGAUUACGGUAGAUAUCUCUGAUCGUUGAUUACCCUGAGGGAUUCCGCCCAUAUUUUCUUUCAAUUAUAUUUAUCAAUAUUAGUUACCGGAGCACGCGAUCAUCCGGAGUGUCGGACAGCAACUGGUCACUGACCUCGUGGUGUAUGCGAGAACGUCGACAAGCCCGUAGGAAACAACAGCCACGAUUUUCGAGCUAAAGACGCCUGCAGGGGAAAUUCAGCUUUGGCUGGUCGCCUGCCCGACAAAAGUAAACCCCGUAGGAGCGCGCCAAAACCCCGAGCAAAAGGAAACCACCGGCGGCUGUGAAAUCUUGGGGAACCGCUGCUUGCAAGCAGCGAUCGCGAUCGACACGAUUACGGUACGAUUCAUCUGACAUCAUCCAUCUAUCUCAAGCUCGACUUACUCGUGUACGCCAUUUUAUCGUGUGACCAGAACUCCGCUGUGCCAUCAAUAUCCUGCUGGAACCUAUCAGGUGUUUUACCUUGCGACAAUCUACCUUGUGGCUCACGCCAGCACGACUACGUGAGGGACGAACAACAACCACGAUCGACAAUCAGCAAGGGCCUUUGAAAAACUCUCAGACACUCCGUUUUCCUUCAACAUCGACACGCGGGACAAGCCGCGAUCGCCAUCCACGCCCAUGUGGCGGUCGAUGACCGCUCUUCACUUGUGACGGCCGUCGCGAAGCGUUCGGACGCACUAGGCCACGUUUUUCACCUGCGGGACCAACCGGGCUCGUCACCAACAUCUAGGCGGUGAUCGACAUCAUCCGCUCGUCACCGAGACCGUCGAGAAGCGCAGAGCUGCUCCUGGCAACGUGAUCAUCUUUUCAUCCUACACGUAGUCAUCUGAAGAACAAGAUGGCGUACACAUCCGCGUUUCUGUAGGAGCAUCGAGCGGCUAUAGCGUAUACGUGAACAACAACAGCACGAGCGGUAGCGAGAUGAAUGACAAGCUACACAAAUCGGGUUAAAUCAGCUGGAUUAAGCUCCCAAAAUCGUAUCUGUUGUUUUUUGCCAGAGC